rnacentral:pre_miRNA from 1 species
GAAGUAAACCUAACUGGGUGGAUGAAUGAUGAAGUAAACCUAACUGGGUGGAUGAAUCAUCGACCCAGAUAGGUUUACUUCAUCCUUCAUCCACCGAGUUAGGUUUACUUCAUCAUUUAUCCACCCAGUUAGGUUUACU